UACGAAGGGGGCUAGCGUUGUUCGGAAUUACUGGGCGUAAAGCGUGCGCAGGCGGCUUCUCAAGUCAGGGGUGAAAGCCCAGAGCUCAACUCUGGAAUUGCCUUUGAGACUGAGAGGCUUGAGUACGAGAGAGGUGAGUGGAAUUCCCAGUGUAGAGGUGAAAUUCGUAGAUAUUGGGAAGAACACCGGUGGCGAAGGCGGCUCACUGGCUCGUAACUGACGCUCAUGCACGACAGCGUGGGGAGCGAACAGG
rnacentral:rRNA from 1 species